GUCUCCAUAGUUCAACGGAUAGAACGCAAGCUUCCGAAGCUUGUGAUCCAGGUUCGAUUCCUGGUGGAGGCA
rnacentral:tRNA from 1 species